rnacentral:rRNA from 1 species
AGCGGUAACAGAGAGUAGCUUGCUACUUUGCUGACGAGCGGCGGACGGGUGAGUAAUGCUUGGGAAUAUGCCUUUUGGUGGGGGACAACAGUUGGAAACGACUGCUAAUACCGCAUAAUGUCUACGGACCAAAGUGGGGGACCUUCGGGCCUCACGCCAAAAGAUUAGCCCAAGUGGGAUUAGCUAGUUGGUAAGGUAAUGGCUUACCAAGGCAACGAUCCCUAGCUGGUUUGAGAGGAUGAUCAGCCACACUGGGACUGAGACACGGCCCAGACUCCUACGGGAGGCAGCAGUGGGGAAUAUUGCACAAUGGGCGCAAGCCUGAUGCAGCCAUGCCGCGUGUGUGAAGAAGGCCUUCGGGUUGUAAAGCACUUUCAGUAAGGAGGAAAGGGUAGUCUUUAAUA